ACAGCUUCUUCCAUCCAUAGAUGAAAUCAUGCCCAAAACUAGUACAAUAGUUGAUGUUUAUGAUGGUUUAUAUAGGCUAACCAGUCAUGCUUCCGAAAGACUGGUGAACCUCUCAAGAAAUCAUCUAAAUUUCAUUGUUGAUCAAAAUAAAGUUUUAAUUUUUAUUUGUAUUUUAUUCUGUGUUUUGCAAGGUUACUUCCAAAUACUAUUUUCAUGUGUUGAAGGUCUCCGAGCAUCUUUGAAAGUUAAAAUGAUUGUGUGGUCCUGCUACAGAAGCCAAAUCUGUUUGGACAAACAGAUUUGGUUUUGUUUGAGAUGACUGACAUUGAGGAAGAACAGUACAGGAAGCAAUAUCAGCUGUUGUUCUUCCAAAGGACUAUGAUGCUUCACAAGGCCGUUCUGGAGGAGAAUGUAGUAUAGGGGUGCACUUUUUUAUUCUGUACAUAAUGUAUGCUCAGAGAUUGGUGCUGUUGUAUGAUAGAUCUAUUAUGUAAUAUGUUUUUUUUUAUAAAAUAAUUGAGAAUGUGUAACCCAUGAAAUGAGUUUUUGAU